AGGUUUGCUUAGCCGCAAUUAAUUGGGAAUGGGGUGCGAAUCCCCGACUGUCCCGCAGCAGUGAGCUCCGUUCGUUACUGGCCCCGAAGCACAAAUGCCAUUGCCCACUUGGGUGAGAAGGCGCUUGGGGGUGGAGCAAGUCUGAAGACCAGCCUUCAUCAG
rnacentral:ncRNA from 1 species